rnacentral:lncRNA from 1 species
AAAUCUCACGUUCUCUCUCUACCUCUGGUCUCUCUCUCUCUCACGUUCUCUCUCUACCUCUGGUUUCUGCAGCAGCAUCUCUCUCUCUCACGUUCUCUCUCAACCUCUGGUCUCUCUCUCUCUCACGUUCUCAUCAUCCUGACUCCUGUAUCGGCGAAUGAUGAUACUAUUUUCUCAAUCAUCAAUUGCUAGUCUUCAGUCAGUGUGUGGUACCAUUACUAAAAGCUCUGAAUUGAUCUGGACCGUUUGAUUGAAGUUUACUAAAAAGAGCUGAUCAAGUACUACAGUUUCAUAUCAGGUAGACUUUGUGGUGAGAUGAGAUAAAAGAGCAGAAUUAUUUGGCUCCACUUACACGUCUCUGGACUCACCAAUUUGUACUUGUGAACUCACAAAACUCCAACCAACCAAAGUUCUUUU